GCCGGGGUCGCCUAACUUGGUGGGGCGCAGAGUUGAUACCUCUGACCCGAAAGGGCAUCGGGGUUCAAAUUCCCGCCACGGCG
rnacentral:tRNA from 1 species